rnacentral:tRNA from 1 species
GCCCAGAUGGCGGAACUGGUAUACGCGCUAGCUUCAGGAGCUAGUUCCCGCAAGGGAUUGGAGGUUCGAGUCCUCUUCUGGGCACCA